CUACGGGUGGCAGCAGUGGGGAAUAUUGGGCAAUGGGCGCAAGCCUGACCCAGCAACGCCGCGUGAGGGAAGAAGGUUUUCGGAUUGUAAACCUCUGUCCUUGGGGACGAAGAAGUGACGGUACCCAAGGAGGAAGCUCCGGCUAACUACGUGCCAGCAGCCGCGGUAAUACGUAGGGAGCAAGCGUUGUCCGGAAUUACUGGGCGGAAAGGGUGCGUAGGCGGCAUAUUAAGUCAGGUGUGAAAUACUCGGGCUCAACCCGGGGGCUGCAUUUGAAACUGAUAUGCUUGAGUGUGAGAGAGGAAAGUGGAAUUCCUAGUGUAGCGGUGGAAUGCGUAGAUAUUGGGAGGAACACCAGUGGCGAAGGCGACUUUCUGGCUCAUAACUGACGCUGAGGCACGAAAGCGUGGGGAGCAAACAGGAUUAGAUACCCCCGUAGUC
rnacentral:rRNA from 1 species